rnacentral:rRNA from 2 species
UCAGACGAACGCUGGCGGCGUGCCUAAUACAUGCAAGUCGAACGAACUCUGGUAUUGAUUGGUGCUUGCAUCAUGAUUUACAUUUGAGUGAGUGGCGAACUGGUGAGUAACACGUGGGAAACCUGCCCAGAAGCGGGGGAUAACACCUGGAAACAGAUGCUAAUACCGCAUAACAACUUGGACCGCAUGGUCCGAGCUUGAAAGAUGGCUUCGGCUAUCACUUUUGGAUGGUCCCGCGGCGUAUUAGCUAGAUGGUGGGGUAACGGCUCACCAUGGCAAUGAUACGUAGCCGACCUGAGAGGGUAAUCGGCCACAUUGGGACUGAGACACGGCCCAAACUCCUACGGGAGGCAGCAGUAGGGAAUCUUCCACAAUGGACGAAAGUCUGAUGGAGCAACGCCGCGUGAGUGAAGAAGGGUUUCGGCUCGUAAAACUCUGUUGUUAAAGAAGAACAUAUCUGAGAGUAACUGUUCAGGUAUUGACGGUAUUUAACCAGAAAGCCACGGCUAACUACGUGCCAGCAGCCGCGGUAAUACGUAGGUGGCAAGCGUUGUCCGGAUUUAUUGGGCGUAAAGCGAGCGCAGGCGGUUUUUUAAGUCUGAUGUGAAAGCCUUCGGCUCAACCGAAGAAGUGCAUCGGAAACUGGGAAACUUGAGUGCAGAAGAGGACAGUGGAACUCCAUGUGUAGCGGUGAAAUGCGUAGAUAUAUGGAAGAACACCAGUGGCGAAGGCGGCUGUCUGGUCUGUAACUGACGCUGAGGCUCGAAAGUAUGGGUAGCAAACAGGAUUAGAUACCCUGGUAGUCCAUACCGUAAACGAUGAAUGCUAAGUGUUGGAGGGUUUCCGCCCUUCAGUGCUGCAGCUAACGCAUUAAGCAUUCCGCCUGGGGAGUACGGCCGCAAGGCUGAAACUCAAAGGAAUUGACGGGGGCCCGCACAAGCGGUGGAGCAUGUGGUUUAAUUCGAAGCUACGCGAAGAACCUUACCAGGUCUUGACAUACUAUGCAAAUCUAAGAGAUUAGACGUUCCCUUCGGGGACAUGGAUACAGGUGGUGCAUGGUUGUCGUCAGCUCGUGUCGUGAGAUGUUGGGUUAAGUCCCGCAACGAGCGCAACCCUUAUUAUCAGUUGCCAGCAUUAAGUUGGGCACUCUGGUGAGACUGCCGGUGACAAACCGGAGGAAGGUGGGGAUGACGUCAAAUCAUCAUGCCCCUUAUGACCUGGGCUACACACGUGCUACAAUGGAUGGUACAACGAGUUGCGAACUCGCGAGAGUAAGCUAAUCUCUUAAAGCCAUUCUCAGUUCGGAUUGUAGGCUGCAACUCGCCUACAUGAAGUCGGAAUCGCUAGUAAUCGCGGAUCAGCAUGCCGCGGUGAAUACGUUCCCGGGCCUUGUACACACCGCCCGUCACACCAUGAGAGUUUGUAACACCCAAAGUCGGUGGGGUAACCUUUUAGGAACCAGCCGCCUAAGGUGGGACAGAUGAUUAGGGUGAA